rnacentral:tRNA from 1 species
UCCGAUAUGGUGUAGUGGCUAACAUCAUCGCCUCUCACGCGAUAGCCCGGGGUUCGAUUCCCCGUGUCGGAA